rnacentral:misc_RNA from 1 species
GUCUUUGUUAGUCGCCACUCGUGUGAGCAAGCAAUUGCCUUCAGAUAUUGGUUUGAAUGGGAGAAACAGCCGGCCAGGUGUGAACCCGGCCCCCACAGUCGGGCUGGCAAGACAGCCGGCCUGCAGGUGACCGCCAAAGGGGACCUUUGGCAGCCAGGCCAACAUGGGGUUGUUCUCGGUGUGGAUACGAUGGAAUCAAUGAUCCUUCCGCAGGUUCACCUACGGAAA